GACGAACGCUGGCGGCGUGCUUAACACAUGCAAGUCGAGCGGAAAGGCUCCUUCGGGGGUACUCGAGCGGCGAACGGGUGAGUAACACGUGAGUAAUCUGCCCUUGGCUUUGGGAUAAGCCCCGGAAACGGGUCUAAUACCGGAUACGACGCACUCUCGCAUGGGAUGUGUGUGGAAAGUUUUUUCGGCCAGGGAUGUGCUCGCGGCCUAUCAGCUUGUUGGUGGGGUAAUGGCCUACCAAGGCUUCGACGGGUAGCCGGCCUGAGAGGGUGACCGGCCACACUGGGACUGAGACACGGCCCAGACUCCUACGGGAGGCAGCAGUGGUGAAUAUUGGACAAUGGGCGGAAGCCUGAUCCAGCAACGCCGCGUGAGGGAUGACGGCCUCGG
rnacentral:rRNA from 1 species